rnacentral:rRNA from 1 species
CUGAUCCCAUGCCGAACUCAGAAGUGAAACGCCGUAGCGCCGAUGGUAGUGUGGGGUCUCCCCAUGCGAGAGUAGGGAACUGCCAGGC